rnacentral:rRNA from 1 species
UCCGUAGGCGGUUUGGAAAGUCGGGUGUGAAAUCCUACAGCUCAACUGUGGAACUGCACUCGAAACUUCCAGACUGGAGUGUGAGAGGGGUGAAGGGAAUUCCCGGUGUAAGGGUGAAAUCUGCAGAGAUCGGGAAGAACACCAGUCGCGAAGGCGCUUCACUGGCUCACUACUGACGCUGAGGGACGAAAGCUAGGGUAGCAAACAGGAUUAGAUACCCUGGUAGUCC